UUCCUAUUCCCAUUCCCGUUCCCUCUCGGCCGUGCGGCAGCACUGACGAGCCGUUCUCCGCGCGGCGCUGGAGGCUAUGGGUGUGCCCUGUGGGCACCUGCGAGUCCCUCUCCCAGAGCAGAGCAUAACGUAACCAGGGUGAGAAAUGCUUUCUGAAAACCCUACAGCUGCUGAUAAUGGAAGUUAUUCUGAAGUAUUAAGAAAGUCUCAAAAGAUGGAGUCUACCUGGUUUCCCUGUGUUACAGACAGACUGAAAAAAAGACUGAGGACUGCAUCUCCUCAAAAAAGCAGCUCAGUGCAAAUUUAACCCCCGGACCAGUGCCUGGUUCGUCUUCAGCUCCAGAGCAAGCAGAGGUAACCGGCCGAGAGCAACCACCCCGAGCUAAGGGGAGCAAAGGGCACUGCAGCCAAGCCUGGCAAAUGCAGCUCCGGCUGGAAUAGCUGGGUGAUCAGUGAGGGAUCAACGGCAUCUAGGGAAAAACUCGGCUCCAGCUCGCCCCUGUGCUGCGCAGCUGAUGGGAGGGACUUGCUGCUGGCAGAAAAUGCAUUGUUUUAAACUGUGUCAGAGCUUGAGUCCCACGCUGCAGCAGAUAAAUGGAUCUCUGAAAAGUACUUUGUUACAGCUCUUUACUGUUACCUCUGGAAUAAGGGUUGUAAUGUAUCUAGCAGUGCUGAGCUCUCAUUAGAAUAACUGGAAUGGGAAAGUAGUUUAAUUCCAGCCAAUGGAGUUUCAGCAGCAGUAAGUGAUGUGCUGACUGACUUCACCGAGACUACCCUAAAGGCACUUGAAGGUGCUGUCUGCUCUGAGGCUGCACUAGAAACCUUUGUGCACCCCGGCUCCAAAAGCCUUCUCCUGAAUCCUUUCCAAGGCAAGAGAAGGCAGCCAGAAACAGGCAAAUUGAAUUGCUUCAGCAAUUACUUAAGUCAACGUCUUGCUAUUUAAGAAUGAUGUGUUAAGGAUAAAGGAAAUAUAACUUGUCAAAGCAGGGAAAGCUCAAGAUCUGUGUGUGAGUGGGGAAAUCAGUAAAGAAACUUAUUUAAGAUCAGCAUCAGCCCCACUUCUGCCUUAUUAACUGCUGGGGGGAGGUUUUUUUAUUUUCUAUUUGCAUAAUUUUGUGAACAAUAAGCAAGAGUAACUGUUAAUUCUUAUCUGCUUCAUCUGGGAACUGGAUGAUUGUGUUCCAGCACAGACAUGACUAAUACCAAGCUCCUUCCAGCUGCUGGGGGACAGGUUGUGGCAGGGUGGUUUGUGUGCCUUAACCUUUCAGUGUUCCAGGGUCUUCAGACAGAAGUUAAAAGAACCCAUGCUAUCUCAGGAGUCCAAUGUCCAAGGGAGCUGGAUAAAAGUCCUCAGCAAGAUUG